GACGAACGCUGGCGGCGUGCUUAACACAUGCAAGUCGAACGAGAGGACAAGAGAAGCUUGCUUCUUUUGGAAUCGAGUGGCAAACGGGUGAGUAACACGUAAACAACCUGCCUUCAGGAUGGGGACAACAGACGGAAACGACUGCUAAUACCGAAUACGCUUGGGAGACCGCAUGAUCUUCCAAGGAAAGGGUGGCCUCUACUUGUAAGCUAUCGCCUGAAGAGGGGUUUGCGUCUGAUUAGGCAGUUGGUGAGGUAACGGCCCACCAAACCUACGAUCAGUAGCCGGUCUGAGAGGAUGAACGGCCACACUGGAACUGAGACACGGUCCAGACUCCUACGGGAGGCAGCAGUGGGGAAUCUUCCGGCAAUGGGCGAAAGCCUGACGGAGCAACGCCGCGUGAGUGAUGACGGCCUCGGUUGU
rnacentral:rRNA from 1 species